rnacentral:tRNA from 1 species
GCCAGGGUGGCUCAGUGGUUGAGUGUUGGCCUAUGAACCAAACCAGGAGUUCAGGGUUCGAUUCCCGGUUGGGGCA